AUCCCUACGGGGGGCAGCAGUGAGGAAUAUUGGUCAAUGGACGAGAGUCUGAUGGAGCAACGCCGCGUGAGUGAAGAAGGGUUUCGGCUCGUAAAGCUCUGUUGGGAGUGAAGAAAGAUAGAGGUAGUAACUGGCCUUUAUUUGACGGUAAUUACUUAGAAAGUCACGGCUAACUACGUGCCAGCAGCCGCGGUAAUACGUAGGUGGCAAGCGUUGUCCGGAUUUAUUGGGCGUAAAGCGAGUGCAGGCGGGUACAUAAGACUGAUGUGAAAGACUUC
rnacentral:rRNA from 1 species